GUAGUGGAAACAACAUUGGUUAUUAUGAUUGUAUUUCAACCACACAACCAUGUCCUUUGUCAUUGAGGCUUCAGAAUCUUGUCAAUGAGGGAGAUGUUGUUGAUAUUGAGAGUUUAAGCAACUUGUCCAACAGAAUAUAUGCUCUCAAUUAUUCAACAACUCAAAAUAGAGCAGUCACUAUUGCCAGAUCAUCUGAAUCUGUGACGAUCCCUGAUCACUUAAAGCUAGAUGCAUUUGUGAUGACAAUUCCAAUACAUGAUCCAGAUUACGGCGACUUUAUAAAAGAUUUUAAACUUGAUUACAACAAUGAAUAUUUUUAUUUUGAUACAAAACUAAGUGGGUAAAAAUUAACUGUUCUUAUCUUUUUUAAAUAAAAAAAAAAGAAUUUCAUAUCGUUUAGAAUCUAGUAUGUUUCGAUUAAAAUAUUAUGUUCUAUGUCAUCAAACAAACAGAGGUAUGCAGGUAAACUUUCAUAUACACGCAUGAGGUUAAACCACCAUAUUGUAAGGUAAAUUUUACGAUUGAGUUUUAAUCAUGUUAAUUUGGUCAUGAAUAGCUUCAAAAAUGUUUAAGUUUUUUCUUAUGACGUCUUAAACUUUCUGUGGUAUCAAACAACGAGAUGUAAUAUAAUAAGCAGAUUGGCUUAUAUUCUUAGUAUAUAAGCAAUAUAUUGUAUAAUAAAAAAAAUAACGCUAAUAGAAUAGAGAAUGGAAACGAAACAUGUGUCAAAGAGACAACAAUCCGACCUAGAGGAGAAAACAGCCCAAGGCCACCAAUGGGUUUUCAACGCAGCGACUAACACGCGCCCGGAGGCGGUCCUCAGUAAAUGCAUGUAAUGUGUGACUUUUUCAUUUGUAAGCGAUGCACCUUUCAGCUAAUUGCUUACUUUAUCACCAUGAAAAAAUACCUUUGAAAGUAUCCUUUAUCUCCUUGUUUUGUGUUUCUUGGCAUACUCAAACUUACAUACAAUUCCUACAAAUGGCAAAUUUUGACAUUUGGAAAAAUUAUUCAUAAGCAUCACUAACUUAAUAAAAAUGUUAGGAUUGUGAUAUAUUAUUUUAUAACCUUAAACAUACUCAGUUACAGUCUGUUAUUUUAGCAUAAGUUCAUAGAUUGUUUGACAAAGACUGAGCCUUAAAAACAUAAAUACAUUGAAAACUGUCCGUACUGAUUUCGUGCUAUAGCCAAUCAUAACACUUGCGAUACAGGUCAUGAUUUUGUGUGUCCACUAAGUUUCAAAAUCCACCUGAUAAUUCUGUGAGCCUGUCAAUCAUUAGAUAAUGCGUUCAGUAAAUUCUAUAAAAUAGAUUUAAAACCGAACAAUGGACUUUUAAGUUGAUACUAAGAUAAACAUUUUAAUCUAAAAAGUAAAAGGUAUUUCAUUUUUUUUUUCUUUUCAUUGUAGGAAGUCUUCAUGUAAAGAAGGCUCUUCCACAUGUGGUAGGUCAGAGAAGUUCAAUUCUAAACUUUACUCUGACGGUUCAGGACUCAUGCUUUAAUUUGGCCAAAGCUACCAUUAUCAUAAUAUCAUCCAAUGCUCCACCCGUUGUGACAGAUUUAAUAGAAGAAUUAAGCAUAGACCCACAAGAACUUCAAGACGAUUCCAGUUUUCACAUUUUCAAUGUCGCAGAUCCCUCGACUGAUAACGUUUCUUGCGUUUUGAGUAAAACGUUUCCUCUGAAGAGUGCAUUAGCUUUAGAGAUUAUAGGCAAUGAGGCAUAUUUACAUGUACCCGACCAUUCGACAAGUAAUUCAACAUUGGGAUAUGAGGUCCAAAUAUUAUGUGAGGACGGAACUGAUAAAAUAGUAUUCGAAAUAACAAUUCUUUUUCGUUCAAAGAUAUACAUUCACACUGAUACAGAAUCCGGUUUGAGUAUUAAAUUGAUAAUUAUUUCGGUGUGUAGUUCCAUUGGUGGGCUAGUAUUUGUUAUUCUUGUAAUAGUUGUUCUGUUUUUCAUUUGGAAAUGGCGGAUGACACUCAUGACGAAAACACGGACGAGAGGCAGAGGUAGUUGUAGACAGUAUAUAUCUACAACUGAAGGAGAUUUUGAAGUAAAUCCUUAUGAUGAACUUGAACAAAAUCAGGACCAAGAAACACCAAAAGACUGUUUGGAAAUGUCUGCUCCAAAAACCGCCAUGUAUGAAAAUACACAACCAUUCAUGUGAUGCGUCUGAAAGCAGGGUAUAUAGUCUAGCGUUGACUAUUUAUGAUACAAUCUAUUUCCGUAUGAUUUAAUAUAAACAUUGACAAAUUGCGCUUCACUAAUUUUUGAUAACAUUUUGUACUGCAGGUGCUAACAAGGUUCAGACUGAAGAUCUAUUUGAUAGAUUGUAAAUAAACUCAUCAUAGAUAGUUUUAGAACGUUUAAGGUGCUCCCUACUCAUAUUUCAACUUUUCUCAAGAUUUAGAAUCCCCUUCAACGACUUUUUGUCCUAGGCAAUGUAAACAUAAUUUAAUCGCUUUUAUUGGUACAUAUGUUGAUGUUUUUGCAAAAAAGGUUCAACAAAAUUACCGAACUCCAAGGUAAAUUCAAAAUGGGGAAGUCCAUAAAAACUGACAAAGUCAAACGUUAUCAACUAACGGAACAAGUGAAAAACAACUGUCAUAUUUCUGACUUGGUACAGCCAUUAUCCGAAAAAAAACCUGGUUUUGAAGCUAGAUAAACCUCCCUUUUGUACAGCAGUUGAUUUUAAUUACCAACCCAAACAGACAUAUUGGGAUCCAACAGCCAAAGCUGUGUAAACAUUCAGCCAUGACAUACAACACAACUGACUGAAAAAUUCAUGCCAACAUACAAAUAAAUUUAACAAAGACACCAACAAAAAAGGUGUUAUAGAUGGUAGUACAUUUGACAAAAAAGUCUUCUAAAAUAUUUUGUCAAUGAUAAAGAAGUUAUAUGCAGACAUUCGGAGAAAAAACAAAAUUUUACAUUUAAGUCAAGAUGGAUUAUUUUAUUCCCUAAGCAAGUCAAUCCUUUUUGGCAUGAUAUCCUGGUAAAUCUUUUCCAUGUUGCAAAAUGAUUUUAUAGUGGAAUAAUACUGAUAAUAUGACGCAUUCCAUAUGGUUAAACCCAAACAUCAAAAUAUAUGGAAAGGUUAUCUUUAAGUUCAAAUUAGUAGAGAAGUGUGGUUUUGUUUUUUUAAUGAUACGAUGGCAGGGAAUACUACUUUAUUUUCAUAUGAAAAUUGUUUAAGAAAAUAUAAAAUUAAUAUCAAUUUUGUAUAGACUUUUAUGGUAGAAUGAUAGCAAUUCCAAAUAGAUGGGAAAUUAUUAUCAUGAAGAAGGUAACUGAAUGUAGAACACUGUUGAAAAUAAAUAGGUAGAUAAGGUUAAAAAAGAAGAUUAAUCCAGAACCUUUUUUAUAAAUCAUGUUUGGAAGAUAAUAAAGUAUUGGCUUUAUCUUCCAAUAAUGCAUGGGAACUAUAUUUGAAUAUACAUAUGGAAGAUUGAAAUACUAUUUACUCUAUGCAGUUUAUGUGUUUUGUGUACUAUUGUUUGUCUGUUGGUCUUUUUCUUUUUUAGCCAUGGCGUUGUCAGUUUUAGCUUUGACUUAUGAGUUUGAAAGUCCCUUUGGUAUCUUUUGCCCCUCUUUUUUAAUAGCGAGACAUUUGUUUUUAAAUCAUUUUCAUUUUAAGAAGUUCAUGUUCAUAGGAUUUUACCAUGUAAUUCAUUUGUAUUUAAAUGCAAAUUAAACAAAACUGAAUUAUGUCCGUUUUGUUCAGAAAUCAGUGAAAAAUAUUUUCCUUUGUUUGGGAAUGUGAUGAUGUAUAAAAUGUGUGGCUAUGGGGAUAGACUAGAUGAUAAACCAUGACAUUUUCUUAUCUUUUAGUGCAAUAUAAGUUAUUUUCUGUAUGUUUUUAGGUUUUUGUUAAUAGUAAAACAUUAAAAAUUAUGUUGUGACUCUUUACAUACAUGUCUAUGUAUACAAAAGAAGAUGUAAGAAAGUAUUGCUGACCACAACAUAGUGGUGUGGGAUAGAAUAUCUACAAUAUUGGAGUGGUAUAUAAAACCUAAAUCAAUAUUUUUUCUUAUAUCUUAUAAAUUGAUACGUAAUUUUUAUACACUUUGCCUAAUAAGGUAUUAUGUAAUUUUGCAUGUUUCAUUGAAUAAAAUAGAAAAAUUAGAAGAACAAAUCUCA